UACGUAGGGUCCGAGCGUUGUCCGGAAUUAUUGGGCGUAAAGGGCUCGUAGGCGGUUUGUCACGUCGGGAGUGAAAACUCAGGGCUCAACCCUGAGCGUGCUUCCGAUACGGGCAGACUAGAGGUAUGCAGGGGAGAACGGAAUUCCUGGUGUAGCGGUGGAGUGCGCAGAUAUCAGGAGGAACACCGGUGGCGAAGGCGGUUCUCUGGGCAUUACCUGACGCUGAGGAGCGAAAGCAUGGGGAGCGAACAGG
rnacentral:rRNA from 1 species